GCAGGCGUGGCCAAAUUGGAUAAGGCAUCUGGCUACGAACCAGAAGAUUGCAGGUUCGAGUCCUGCCGUCUGCA
rnacentral:tRNA from 1 species